rnacentral:misc_RNA from 1 species
GGAAGGAUCAUUAGCAAGGAUGGUACAAGCUAGCUUUAGCUAGGUUGUUCCACAUGAGUGAGUGAGGGAGAGAUGUGAUAAGGUGUGAGUAAUGAUGUGAAUAAUGAAACAAAUAUGUGAAUAUCAUGAAUAUUGUGAAUGUCAUGGAUAUGGAUAUUGUGAAUGUCAUUUGGAUAUAUGAAUAUAUGAAUAUUGUGAAUGUCAUUUGGAUAUAUGAAUAUAUGAAUAUUGUGAAAUCAUUUAAAUAUGAACAUCACUAUCAUUUAUAAUUCAUUUGAAUAUCAUUUGAAUAUCAUUUGAAUAUCAUUUGAAUAUCAUUUGAAUAUAUUUAUUCAUUAUACUCUAUUCAUUAUAAUUCAUUGAUUAUAGUCUAUUUAUUAUCAUUCAUUGUAAUUCAUUAUAAUCAAUCUAUCGUUGCAUCGAUCCCUUGCAACCACAUAUAUAUAUAUCACAUGACUAAAGCAACUAUAACAAUAGUACUUUUAACAAUGGAUCUCUAGGCUCUUGCAGCGAUGAAGAACGCAGUAAAGUGCGAAAAGUGAUGCGAUUUGCACGAACCUGUGAGUCAUCUAGUAUUUGAACGCAAAUGGCACUCCUGGCAGCAGGAGUAUGUCUGCAUGAGAAUGGGAAUAAGAGUUCUUUUUUAGGUAAAGAAGGGACUGGGUUUAGGGUUUGGGGCUGGGUUUGCAAAGGCCUUGUCUUGAUACUUUACUCUGAAUGCAUUAAAAGGAGAUGGAAUAUCAUCCAUCCCUACUGGGGAGUGUGCUAGACACUCGCUCCCCUUCACAUCAGCCAGCCAUCUCAUGUCAGACAAGAGUACCCGCUGAACUUAAGCAUAUCAAUAAGCGGAGGAAAAGAAACUAACAAGGAUUCCCUCAGUAACGGCGAGUGAAGCGGGAUGAGCUCAAAUUUAAAAUCAGGCGCAAGCCGGAAUUGUAGUGUAUAGAGGCGCUAUUGGAUGCCAGAGUCUGCUCAAGUCCCAUGGAAUUGGGCAUCAGAGAGGGUGAGAAUCCCGUGGAGUAGAGGAAGGUAUUCAUAAAAUAGGCGUUUUCAAAGAGUCGAGUUGUUUGGGAUUGCAGCUCAAAGGGGGUGGUAAACUCCAUCUAAGGCUAAAUAGAGGCAAGAGACCGAUAGCAAACAAGUACCGUGAGGGAAAGAUGAAAAGUACCUUGAAAAGGGAGUUAAAAGCGCGUGAAAUUGUUAAAAGGGAAACGCUUGGAGCCAGAGGGGCGGGCCAGUUCAGUGUUCUGUGGUGGAGGAGACGCAAGCCAUGGGAUGUGUAUUCUGGAACGUCUGGUCAGGGGUGAUUUGGGGAGCCGGAGAAGGGCAUCGGGAAGAUGGGCAGUUGCCAUUGGCAGGUGUUUUUACAGACCGGUGCAGAUGGGGUUUUCUAGAUUGCUUUGGGAUUGGGGUGCUUAAACUGGGGAGAUUGGUGGUGGGGGAUGGAGACAAACUUUGGCUCUGUUUCUGCUGCCAGCAAGAAGCCCAGCGGGCACCUUGGUCGUCUGACGGAUUGGCUCCAAACGACCCGUCUUGAAACACGGACCAAGGAGUCUAACAAAUGUGCGAGUAUUUGGGUGGCAAACCCAGAUGCGGAAUGAAAGUGAGGCCUUGGAGCGGUGGGUGUUCGUGUAAUAGUGUUCAUUCACUCCGCGCACAAGGGACCAAUUGUCUUUGAUUGAUGAAUCGAGUUGGAGCACACAUGUUGGGACCCGAAAGAUGGUGAACUAUGCCUGGAUAGGAUAAAGCCAGAGGAAACUCUGGUGGAGGUCCGCAGCCGUUCUGACGUGCAAAUCGAUGGUCGAAUCUGGGUAUAGGGGCGAAAGACUAAUCGAACCAUCUAGUAGCUGGUUCCCUC